AUUCAGCAAGGCAAAAAGGCUUUGAGCAGUCCCACAAUUGCUUUUCUCUCAUUUAUUUGUACGAGUGUGAAGGUUUGCUUGUUUUCUUUUCCUUCUUAUUUCGACAUGCUUUAUCAGUUUAACUGUGUAGUACAGUAUUUUUUUUUUUAGUUUGCACGGUUCAGGAAUAUGCCCAUGGGGCCUACUUACACACAUGUCUAGAAGCAGCAAAGCUCUUUUGUGUUUGCCCAUCUCUGAAUCU